GCCAGGUGCAGUGGCAUGUACCUAUAGCCUCAGCUACUCAGGAGUCUGAUGGGGGGAGAUCACUUGAGCUCAGGAGUUCAAGACUAGCCCGGGCAGCAUAGUGAGACCCCCAUCUC
rnacentral:sRNA from 1 species